UAUAAUGUGACAUAUAUACUCACAUAUACAUAUUUAUAACAUGUAACGGCAUAUAUACAAGCAAAGCGUUGAUAGAGAACUGAUUAGGAGAGGCGCUGCAGGCACGAAGAUCGGGAUCUAUUGAGGGUUCAGAACAACAUACUUGCGGAAAGAUAUCUGAUGCAGAUAAGUGUUGGAGUAAAUGAACAGAUCCAUGCUGGUUGGUUUCGGCCUGAAUACCACCUCGCGUUUCUGCCGUGGCCGGAACCUGGAACCUGGAAACGUUCAGCCUCUAAAGUCACACAUUCCGGAUACUCACUCUCCAAAUCUCCAAAAAGCCUGUGCUACACAGGCAUGGACAAUUUGCAUCUUAGUUUAAUAUAUAAAACGAAAAUUACAUGCCGUUUUAUUAUGUACAUAUAUAACGCAAGUGUAGUCAUUAUAUAUAAUUCUAAUCGAUGUUUUACCUUGUGAUGUAAUUAUCUAUCUAUUUUCUGUUCUGCUUCUCCAUUUAAGAUCUGCAGUCUUCGCAUGUUUAUUACAUAAUAAAACAGAAAUACUAUGUGCAUAGACAA